CCAUCUUCAUUUCAACGCUUCUGAAAAAUGAAAACACUUAACGCAGGUUCCAUCUUCACUAAACACUUCAGAAAUCGUUUCCAGAUUGCACGAUUUUCGGAUUCUCAAAAUCGCAUCUCAAAAUCGCUUCGGGUUCUCAAUUUCAGUUCAUCGUAUUUCUUUCUCAAAAUCGCUUCUCAUCACUUUCUCAUCGCUUAAGGUGUUUGAAUGUGAAUAGUAUUGCAGUUGAAUGUGACCGGAGCCUUAACAACGUGACCAGAGUUCGUCAAUCUUCUUUUCGGUUCUUCGUUUCUUCCAAUCAGCUCUCCAGACCCUUUGUUACCUUUCACCUUUCUCAUGUAAGCUCUAUGUUUCUACUCUCCCUUAAUUCUUUGUUUCGAUUGGUUCGACUAGUCAUUUCAGUUUUGAUUUAUUGUUUCAAUCAGUUGUUUUGAUUCGAUUCUUCUCAAGGUUUUAUUCAAUUCAUUGUUUCAAUUUGUUGUUUCAAUUUGUUGUUUCGUUUAGAUUCUUCUCAAGGUUUCAAAGUAAAUUCUUGUUCACUUUUAUCUACUAUGAUUGAGCAUUUAGCAUAUCAAUCAUGUUUUGUAUGUAGUUAGUUAUUGGAAUUAUGAAAAAAAGGUUCAUUCAUCAUUAUGAAUGAGCAUUUAACAUAUGAAUCAAGUUUUGAGCAUUUUAAAACAAUCAUUGAAGCUUUGGUUUGUGAAGGUACUCAUUGAGCUUGGACAUUGUGAAUUGAGUAAUUUUUUUUAAACCGAUAAUAAUAUAAAAAAUGAAUGAACUAAAUGUAAUCACGAAGCCGGUACCAGAUAAGAGUCAGAUCAAUUCGUUAUUAUGAGAGUCUCGUAGAGUAGGAUCUAAAUAAGCACAAGUUAGAAAAUUUUGAGUUGAAAUAUUUUUGAAUUGAAUUAUGAGGUAGCGUUUGUUUGGAUUCUUAAGACUAAAGAAAGCAAGCUCAAAUAAUCCAUUUGGUGUAAUGAUGGUGUCUCCAUCUCUGAAGAAUUGAGAUUGAGUAACGGGUGAUAUUAACCCUAUUGGGUUAAAUAUACAAAACUUCUUGGCAAGUGGAAGUCAGAUGAAUUCAAAGUUGUAUCCCAAUAAAAUAAGACUAAUCGUUCACCAAGUAGAGGUGGGGCAGUCCAAACAAAAGGUUGUAAAGCUCACCAUGAUGUUGCACUUGAAUUGGUAUUGGCUAAAAAGCUCAAGCGACCCGCACAUCCGGAUGAGACAUUCAUUGCCACCCGUAAAAGAAGAAUGGGGAGUGGGUUGAUAAUCGUGCAGCGACAACACAUGAAAAAUACUUGAGCAGUCUGACACAAGUAACACAAACUAGUGAUGAUGUGGAUUGAGCAACAAAAAUACAAUUUCGGAAAGAAGCUGCUGGGGUAAAACACGGGGGCGGUGUUAUGGAGUUGCACAGUUGGUGCGCAACAUAAGAUAUGGAGUGAGCUACUUGACACGAGUGUCAAUUACAAACCCCAAUAGAGAAGCAGAUAACCAAGCCAUUGAAGCUCAUAGAGCUGAAACUGCUACAUGUGAAGAGGCUGCACGAGCUAAUGCGCGUACAACUGACUUGGAAAAGCAAUUUGAAUCAUUUCGGCAACAAGUGGUUGAUAUGUUUCAGUCUCGUCUGACGGGUCCUUCUAGUGCUCAUUCCAGUGAUCAUCCUGAUUAUAACUUUUUGGUACUUUUACUACUCCUUUGACUUGUGUACUGCUCCAACACAUAUAUCCUUAGCUUGGUUAGAUUUAUCUAUGUUAAGAUUUAUGGUUGAAAUAAGUGUCUGAUGUUGUUGUUGAUUUGAAUGGAAUGCAUUCCUAUUAACUCCACUACCAUUUUAACAUGUGACAAUCAUAUUCGUCUUUAUUUACUCUAAUAAGGAGCCCCAUGUAAUCAAUCAAUCUAGUAGUAGAAUAUUGAAUGGUGUGGGAUUCAUUUAUUGGUCCCGGAUGUAUGAACACCUCGGGCUUCUCACGCUGAUCUUUAAGGCCAUUAAUUUGAGAACUUGCCCCCAACAUGGUUAGAAUGGAAUCUCUAGGCGUGGCUCUAUCUGUCUAUAAGGAAUUUCCUUUCUGUUUACAGGUUGUGGCCCCAUAGUCUUAAAUAUUGGUUGGUAGUAAUGCACAGAAAUGCAGGGAUAGCUAGGUUUUGUAUUAAAUUAAGCUUCCUGGUUGAUGAUGCCAGCAGGCAGAUUUUCGAGGUGUCUUCAUAUGCCUAAACCAGGGAUGGCAUGAUCCACGGUAUCAUUGAUUCACAACACAAUCUAAUUGUUGAUGGUCUACUACCCCUAUUGGUUAGGUUUCCACGUGGGUAGAGGAAUUUAACUACUUGCAGAUGUAAUUGGUCAAUCCACAUAGCUGCAUUAUGUGUGCUUUACAAUUGUUGACAUGAUUACUUUCUUCUAACUUCAAUUUAAUAAAAAAAAUUAAUUGAAA